rnacentral:lncRNA from 1 species
UAUUAUUAAUACAUACCCAAACAGCUUUAGACUAUGGGAACCUGCCAUUUGUUGAUAAUUUUUGUGGCACUAUGAUUAAUGUUUGUGUCUGAUUCUAGGAAAUGGGAUAAAAAAAAGGAGCACAGAGAUAACCUGAAUAAUGCCAAAAGAGCUCACAGGUCUACAAAUCAAAAACCAAUCCAGGAGAUCAAUUCUGAAGCAAUUAAAUAAGCAGCCGACAAGGCUUUUUAAGCACCAGAGCAUUUGUCUCAAUAGAAAGCAGAGCAAGACCAAAGAGGAAAUGGAAAAACAACAUGGAUCUGCAGAAAAGCAAGAGACUUGGAAUUUUGGCAACUGCCAGUCAACUGAGAUGGAGUCACAGUUCCAUGGAAUUUUGAAGGAAGCAGUUGGGCAGCUUGAGCUGUUUUGAGACUCACUUCUUUUCUGACAGUUGGGAGAAAGCCAGACUCUCUCUUGUUCAAUGAUUAUCUGACUGAGUACUGAGAAGACUUUUAGAACUUAGCUCAGAAGAAACUCUGCCAUCCAGUUGUUAUCAACAUCUCCCCUUAGAGAAAAAUCACUUUAUUUCCUGAAUUGAGAGCUCCAAUCAACAGGAAAAUAUAGGAAGUUAGAGAAACCCAUUUUCCUCUCUCCCCCCCUCCUUCUCCUUACUUCCUAUAUUUAAAAGAAUAAAAACUUUUUGUUAAAAAUUUGAGGGUGAAAG